rnacentral:rRNA from 1 species
CCUACGGGAGGCAGCAGUGAGGAAUAUUGGUCAAUGGACGCGAGCCUGAACCAGCCAAGUAGCGUGAAGGAUGACUGCCCUACGGGUUGUAAACUUCUUUUAUAAAGGAAUAAAGUGAGGCACGUGUGCCUUUUUGUAUGUACUUUAUGAAUAAGGAUCGGCUAAGUCGGGCCAGCAGCCGGGGGAAUAACGAGGAACCGAGCGUUAUUCGGAUUUAUUGGGUUUAAAGGGAGCGUAGAUGGGUUGUUAAGUUAGUUGUGAAAAGUUGCGGCUCAACCGUAAAAUUGCAAUUGAUACUGGCAGUCUUGAGUACAGUUGAGGUAGGCGGAAUUCGUGGUGUAGCGGUGAAAUGCUUAGAUAUCACGAAGAACUCCGAUUGCGAAGGCAGCCUACUAAACUGCCACUGACAUUGAUGCUCGAAAGUGUGGGUAUCAAACAGGAUUAGAUACCCGUGUAGUC